CUUACAAGGUUUGUUCCAUAAGCCUAGAGCUUUUUGCAAGCACAGUUCACUCAGGAGUCAACAUUAAUGAGCAUAUAUCUAAGAUCAAUCCUCUCUAGGAUGUGGUAUCGCGUCGAGGCUACGGGUUUAGGACCACCUUAAACUCCGAGGACUCUGCUCCAGUGUUCCAUGGCACUGAUGGUGUGCAUCAUAUGUUAAAUGGAGCAGAGUCUAUUUUUUCUUGCAGCGACCACCUGAAAUUCAUCUCCACCAGGCCAAAAGCAAGGUCAGCCCCGGGCUCUGCCCUCACCCUUCUGACGCUAGAGCACUCCACGGACGGCAACAACAGCACCGUCGUGGGACCGUCCUAGGAAGAAAAUCGUCAUUAUCUACCACUGAUUUUGCCUACAAACAACGGUAUGGCUCAGAGUCCCUAGCCAGACCGCUCCUCUACUGCUAAUUAAGGUAAUAUAUACACAGGCACCAUCUGGCUGAAGCCAGUAGAAACAAGGAUCGGCACCAUGUAAAAUAGUUCACUAGAACAAUGCACCGGCCCCGUCUAGCUUUGCCCAGUAUACGGGCGCCGGUUAGCCCCACUAUGUAAUCGAAU